AGGGGGAAGACUUUCUAGCCCUUGUAUCUUUCAGUUUUUACAAUUCCUGGAUGAACUGCAUUUAUGGUGACUCUGGCAUUUCUUCCCUGCCAUCCCACAAAAAAGAACUCGGGACCACGUCAGGAAUCUACAUGAAAAGUUUGAAACACCUGCCAACCUUGUUAAAAAGCAAUCUUUCCGAAGGGAAAGGAGAGAGGUCAAUUGCAUUUAACUCCAAAGGCAAAGGUUCCAUCUCUCACCUCUUAUAUAUCUC